UAGAGUUUGAUCCUGGCUCAGAUUGAACGCUGGCGGUAUGCUUAACACAUGCAAGUCGAACGGUAGCAGCUCUUCGGAGGCUGACGAGUGGCGGACGGGUGAGUAACGCGUAGGAAUCUGCCUGUUAGUGGGGGACAACUUAGGGAAACUUAAGCUAAUACCGCAUACGCCCUACGGGGGAAAGGAGGGGAUCUUCGGACCUUUCGCUAACAGAUGAGCCUGCGUAGGAUUAGCUAGUUGGUAGGGUAAAGGCCUACCAAGGCGACGAUCCUUAGCUGUUCUGAGAGGAAGAUCAGCCACACUGGGACUGAGACACGGCCCAGACUCCUACGGGAGGCAGCAGUGGGGAAUAUUGGACAAUGGGCGAAAGCCUGAUCCAGCAAUACCGCGUGUGUGAAGAAGGCCUUAGGGUUGUAAAGCACUUUCAAUUGGGAGGAAAAAACAGAGGUCAAUACCCUCUGUCUUGGCAUUACCUUUAGAAGAAGCACCGGCUAACUCCGUGCCAGCAGCCGCGGUAAUACGGAGGGUGCAAGCGUUAAUCGGAAUUACUGGGCGUAAAGAGUGCGUAGGCGGCUCGUUAAGUCAGAUGUGAAAGCCCUGGGCUCAACCUGGGAACUGCAUUUGAAACUGGCGAGCUAGAGUUGAGUAGAGGUAAGUGGAAUUUCAGGUGUAGCGGUGAAAUGCGUAGAUAUCUGAAGGAACACCAGUGGCGAAGGCGACUUACUGGACUCAAACUGACGCUGAGGUACGAAAGCGUGGGUAGCAAACAGGAUUAGAUACCCUGGUAGUCCACGCCGUAAACGAUGUCAACUAGCCGUUGGUCCUGUAUACAGGAUUAGUGGCGCAGCUAACGCAUUAAGUUGACCGCCUGGGGAGUACGGCCGCAAGGUUAAAACUCAAAGGAAUUGACGGA
rnacentral:rRNA from 1 species